GAUUAUCACCUCGAUUCUCUUGCUUCAUCUCCCCCAGUUCUCUAUUUCUGUUGUCUCCCUUCUUCCAUCAUAGUUUCUCCUUAAGCUCUUGAUUUCAGUAAUUACUUUCUUCUAUUGCAAAUCUGCGGCCAACGUUUUGUGCAAUUUCAAGCCCUUUCCAUCACUCUAUCUGCCCUGCUUUCCACCAAGAGAUUGGAAGGCGAAACCCAAAGAGAGAAAAGUGGUUCCCUCUUGUGUUGGUCUGGAAUCCUGAAGCUUGAAUUCAAAAUUUCUCCUGCAAAAAAAAAACAGUAAAAUUCGCGCAAUUUCAUUAUUCAAAAUCUUAACUCGAAAAUUUUCCAAAUCUUCUUGAAUAUAUACAAGAUCAAUCUUUAAUCCAGUUUUUCAUAAUUUUAAGCUAUGGUUGCUUGGAGAUUUUUGUUGUUCCAAUGCUUCUAAUCGAUGAGUCGAAGGAUCAUCUAUUUUUGUCAUCCUCAUCAUGAUUUCAAGUGAUUCCUCAGCAGACUGCUUUGGUCCUUUGUAGCAACUUACCCUCUUCUCAGCUGGUUUGGUGAUCCCAAUUCUACUUCGCAGCCCUAUGUCACUUGAUUUUACAUAUUGUGUUUUGAGGUAUAGUCGGGACCUUGUCACCGGCAUUCCAUAUUGUACUCUUGUUCUCUUAGAGGCUCCGUAGACGUACUAUGGGUUGUAUUUUGACUUGGGAUCACAGACUACAGAUGUUGUUAUAUUUGUUGAGUAUUCCACUCUAAACUAUGAACAUGUGUUAUUUUGGUUAUCAAUAAAUGAAGCUCUUA